UUGGGAGGUAGCCAUUUGUGAGCAGAGGGAGUUGUGAUGGGCUGUUCCUGAAAACCUAGUGAUUUUCCUGGUUUCUGUCAGGUGACUGGGGACAGAAAAAUGAGCAGCUGUGAGCAGAAGUACAGCCAUCAGUGAAGAUGCUUGUCAGGGCUACUGAUCACUCCCCAGCAGGGCUUAAAGUGGUCCUGGAGAGGUGGGGGAACUCGCCUGCCUCACCACCUGCACGCCGAAGGCGCGCAAUGCUAAAAGGGAAAGAAAACUACUGGGACUACCAGUGGCUGUGAAAUAUAAUCCCUUUGUUCCUUUGUUGUAUCAGGACGACUGAACGUAAACAGGUACGGCAAUCAGAAUACACAGUGGACACACCAUCACACUUACAAAGGGAUUUAUAUUAUAAUCACCAUGGGAGGAUUAUACAGGUCUGGCAGAUCUAGCUCCAAAGUCACUAGAAUUCCCUAAUUUGGAUAAUGCUGACCUUUUCGGUCCCCAAUUCAUUGAGGAAGUAAAAAUACGGUAUAAGGCUCGUAAAUCUUUCUCUGACCUUAAAAAAGGGAAUGAGCAGUUCAAAAGGCCCUUUCCCCAAGGGGGCCGGACUUCGAGAGCCACAGGUCCGACCCGAGACUUCCAAGGCACAAGAAGAGCCCAGACAGGAGGCUUUGGUAACAGAACAAAUGACGCCCCUAGAGCAUCGUCCUCAAACACCUGGAACAACUCCAAGAAAGGUCACAACUUUGGCGCACCGAGGGACCAAAAGAAGCCGGAAGCAGCUGCCAAUAAAGAACAGAAGUAGACUUCGUCCUACCUCCAAUAAUUAACCCAGACGUCGCACAGGGCUCUACUCAUUCAAGUUUUUUGUUUCUACUACUUUUGCUUACAGCAUUCAGUUUAUAAAGCCAUUGCCAUGGCCCAAUUCCUUCCAAAGGGCUGUCAGUUUACAGUUUAAUAAAUCUUUCCUGGUUUCAAAGCA